rnacentral:rRNA from 1 species
UACAGGGGGUGCAAACGUUGCUCGGAAUCAUUGGGCGUAAAGCGCACGUAGGCGGUUCGUUAUGUCGGAUGUGAAAGCCCUUGGCUUAACCGAGGAAGUGCAUCCGAAACUGGCGAGCUAGAGUACGAAAGAGGAUCGCGGAAUCCCGGUGUAGAGGUGAAAUUCGUAGAUAGUCGGGAGGAACACCGGUGGCGAAGGCGGCGAUCUGGGUCGGUACUGACGCUGAGACG